rfam:Schistosoma margrebowiei strain Zambia genome assembly, scaffold: SMRZ_scaffold0000491
AUCCAGCUGACGAGUACCAAGUGGGACGGAACCCGCGUCCUGGAU